rnacentral:rRNA from 1 species
CUCUACGGCCAUACCAUCCAUAACGCGCCCGAUCUCCUCUGAUCUUGGAAGCUAAGCAGAGUCAGGCCUGCUUAGUACUUGGAUGGAAGACCGCCUGGGAAUACUGGGUGCUGUAGGCU